GUUGCAGCGCAGAAACAGCUGGAGUUAGUCCUGAAUAUUAAGGAGAAAGUCUUAACAAGUAUGCAGAAAUGAUCGCCAUCAUAUUCAUGACUAACUCCUGCUGUUCCUGCGC